GGGACAGGACAGGUUGUUUUCUCAGCUACAUCGGUGUAAAUCCAGGGCAAUUCUACUGAGGUUCACACCAGAGUAACUGGGAUCAGAAUCUGGCCACCAUCGUCCACCUG
ensembl:miRNA